UACGUAGGGUGCAAGCGUUGUCCGGAAUUAUUGGGCGUAAAGAGCUCGUAGGCGGUCUGUCGCGUCUGCUGUGAAAACUCAGGGCUUAACCCUGAGCUUACAGUGGGUACGGGCAGACUGGAGUACUGCAGGGGAGACUGGAAUUCCGAGUGUAGAGGUGAAAUUCGUAGAUAUUCGGAAGAACACCCGUGGCGAAGGCGGCUCUCUGGAACGCAACUGACGCUGAGACGCGAAAGCGUGGGGAGCAAACAGG
rnacentral:rRNA from 1 species